rnacentral:rRNA from 1 species
CAGUAGCCGCGGUAAUACGUAGGGUGCGAGCGUUAAUCGGAAUUACUGGGCGUAAAGCGUGCGCAGGCGGUUGUGUAAGACAGAUGUGAAAUCCCCGGGCUCAACCUGGGAACUGCAUUUGUGACUGGCAAGCUAGAGUGUGGCAGAGGGGGGUGGAAUUCCGCGUGUAGCAGUGAAAUGCGCAGAUAUGCGGAGGAACACCGAUGGCGAAGGCAGCCCCCUGGGCCAACACUGACGCUCAUGCACGAAAGCGUGGGGAGCAAAUAGGAUUAGAUACCCCUGUAGUCCCUGUCUCUUAUAC